UACGAGGGGGGCGAGCGUUGUUCGGAAUUAUUGGGCGUAAAGGGUGCGUAGGCGGUUUGGUAAGUCUUGUGUGAAAUCUACAGGCUCAACUUGUAGUCUGCACGAGAAACUGCCGGGCUUGAGUAUGGGAGAGGUGAGUGGAAUUCCUGGUGUAGCGGUGAAAUGCGUAGAUAUCAGGAGGAACACCUGUGGCGAAGGCGGGUCUCUGGGCCGUUACUGACGCUGAGGAGCGAAAGCGUGGGGAGCGAACAGG
rnacentral:rRNA from 1 species